CGAAUUUUUUUUCUUUUUCCUAUUAAGCGGGAGGAACGGAGACCAACAGGAGAUUGCCUCUUUUAUUCUUCGAGUGAAAGCGGCAUCAGCUCAGAUUUGAAAUCUGGUUCUUUCAGAGCCCGAGUUGUAAUCUGUAGAGGAGUCUUCGGGUUUGGAUCUGGCCUAAGUUUCUUGGAACAGAACGUCAUAGAGGGUGAGAGUCCCGUAUGAGGCCAGCUACCUAUUCCCAUGUGAAGCUUCUUCGACGAGUCGAGUUGUUUGGGAAUGCAGCUCAAAAUGGGUGGUAAAUUUCAUCUAAAGCUAAAUAUUGGCGGGAGACCGAUAGCGCACAAGUAGAGUGAUCGAAAGAUGAAAAGCACUUUGAAAAGAGAGUUAAAAAGUACGUGAAAUUGUUGAAAGGGAAACGCUUGCGAUUAGACUUGCGCUCAGGUGAUCAACCGGUGUUCUCACCGGUGCACUCUCCUGCUUGCAGGCCAGCAUCGGUUUGGGCGGUUGGAUAAAGGCCCUAGGAAUGUAGCUGCCCUCGGGCAGUGUUAUAGCCUAGGGUGCAAUGCAGCCAGCCUGGACCGAGGACCGCGCUUCGGCUAGGAUGCUGGCAUAAUGGUCGUAAGCGACCCGUCUUGAAACACGGACCAAGGAGUCUAACAUCUAUGCGAGUGUUUGGGUGGAAAACCCAAGCGCGUAAUGAAAGUGAACGUAGGUGAGAACCCUUAAGGGUGCAUCAUCGACCGAUCUUGAUGUCUUCGGAUGGAUUUGAGUAAGAGCAUAGCUGUUGGGACCCGAAAGAUGGUGAACUAUGCCUGAAUAGGGUGAAGCCAGAGGAAACUCUGGUGGAGGCUCGCAGCGGGUUCUGACGUGCAAAUCGAUCGUCAAAUUUGGGGUAUAGGGGCGAAAGACUAAUCGAAACCAUUUUAGUAGCUGGGUUUCAGGCCGAAAGUUUC
rnacentral:rRNA from 1 species